AACCUGGUUGAUCCUGCCAGUAGUCAUAUGCUUGUCUCAAAGAUUAAGCCAUGCAUGUCUGAGUACCUGCCGACCUUAGGCGAAACCGCGAAUGGCUCAUUAAAUCAGUCAUGAUUUACAGGAUUUUGUAAAUCCUUACUCGGAUAACUGUGGUAAUUCUAGAGCUAAUACGUGCAAUUAGUCUCCGACCCCGGCCGCUUUUAGCGGUCGGGGGAAGGGCGCAUUUAUUAGAACCAAAAACCGGGUGGACAGUCGGGAUUGGCGUCUUUCUGUUUUCCUUCUCUUGCCUGAGUCGGUCUGCAGCAUUCGUCCUCCUCGUCCAUUCCUCUUCGGUUAUGUGGUGACUCCGGAAAACUACAGCCGAGCGCUGAGGUCUUUGUACCGGCGCCGGAUCCUUCGAGUGUCUGCCUUAUCAGCUUUCGAUUGUAGGUUAUUCGCCUACAAUGGCUGUAACGGGUAACGGGGAAUCAGGGUUCGAUUCCGGAGAGGGAGCCUGAGAAACGGCUACCACAUCUAAGGAAGGCAGCAGGCACGCAAAUUACCCAAUCCUGGCUUGGGGAGGUAGUGACGAAAAAUAACGAUGCGGGACUCUUCCGAGGCCUCGCAAUCGGAAUGAGUUCAACGUAAAGACAUGGACGAGGAUCCAUUGGAGGGCAAGUCUGGUGCCAGCAGCCGCGGUAAUUCCAGCUCCAAUAGCGUAUAUUAAAGUUGCUGCGGUUAAAAAGCUCGUAGUUGGAUUUCUGAUGCGGACCGGAAGCCCACCUAAGGCGCGAUCCUCGUGUUCGGGGAGCUGCGUUCCGAAGUGGUUCUUCUCGCGAUAUGGCAAUGGCCGAAAGUGCACGUUUUUGGUGGUGCGGCUCAUAGUUAAGGCGGGCCAGCAACCUCUUUUCUCGGGUUUUCCGAGGUCGUCGCACGAGCCUCUCGUCGAUGGCGUUGUUGACGCGAUUGUGCCUGUGCUCCGGUUAAAAAAGGCGGGUUUGUCGGGAGUCUGCCAGAAAGGGAUUCUUCUUCUUUCUCAGAUCUGUUUAUCUUGUCUCUGUCGCCUCUGCUGUGUCGGUGUGUGUGUGUGGCAUUACGGCGAGAGCGGAGCAUCUCUGCCGUCCCUGGAUAUGGCAAUGCUUGCUAGCGGCGGUCGCCUCUCCCCCGUAAUCCCUCUCGUUCGUUUGUCUAGUUUUCCCUGUUCUCCGAGUAGUACGGUUCGGCUCUUCGCGUAUAACCGUUUCGCUUACGCCGUCGCGUUAGACGGGUCGGCGUUACGGGUGAAGGGUUCGCGCUUCUCGGGUGUGACCUCAAAGGGGAUUGCUAUGUCAGCGAGCGAUGGUUCGGGUGGACGCGAUUCCGUGCGGCUAGUUUAGCCUCUUGCUAUAAGAAGGGGACUGGUUAGUAGAUACCGCGAUUCAAACUCGUGUAUCUGUCACCUCCCACCACCGCAGAACGCGCGGGUGUCAACGAUGCAGUUCUAUUAAAGGGUUAGUAGAGUUUCUCGGCACGGCUUGUCCGCACUGUCUUCGGUUGCACAGGUUGUUGCUCGCGUUCUUCAUCGUCCAUCCGGCGCGGAGGUGCCCUCUACGGCGGCUCUUUCGGUCCGGAAAAUGUUGUUGAACCCCGCUGGUCUUUAGUCGUUACCUUCAUUCGUGUUUCCUUUCGGGUACAUCCGGCGUCAUAGUCGACGAACGGGAAGGUUUAAGGCCUUCGGUUAACGUAUUUGCUCUUUCGUGGCGGGUGAGCGCGCCCGGUGGUUCACUUCUCGGCUCCGUGUUUUGCACAGUCGUCGGCUGUCGCGGGGUGCUCUUUACCGAGUGUCCCGCGGGGCCGGCAAGUUCACUUUGAAAAAAUUAGAGUGCUCAGAGCGGGCUAAAAUAUUUACGCCCGAAUGGUAGCGCAUGGAAUGAUGGAACAGGACCUCGGUCCCGCCUUUUUCAGCCCGGUUUUUCGGAACCGAGGUAAUGAUUAACGGGGACAGACGGGGGCAUUAGUAUUGCGGCGCGAGAGGUGAAAUUCUUGGACCGUCGCAAGACUACCUACUGCGAAAGCAUUUGCCAAGAAUGUUUUCAUUAAUCAAGAACGAAAGUUAGAGGAUCGAAGGCGAUCAGAUACCGCCCUACCUCUAACCAUAAACGAUGCCAACUAGCGAUCCGUCGGCGUCAUUCCCACGACUCGACGGGAAUCCCCAGGGAAACCAAAGUUUUUGGGUUCCGGGGGAAGUAUGGUUGCAAAGCUGAAACUUAAAGGAAUUGACGGAAGGGCACCACCAGGAGUGGAGCCUGCGGCUUAAUUUGACUCAACACGGGGAAACUCACCAGGCCCGGACACUGGAAGGAUUGACAGAUUGAGAGCUCUUUCUUGAUUCGGUGGUUGGUGGUGCAUGGCCGUUCUUAGUUGGUGAAGCGAUUUGUCUGGUUGAUUCCGAUAACGAACGAGACUCUACCCUGCUAACUAGUCGGCGGAUCGUCUCCCGAGAGGGGUUUCCGACCGCGUGGUUUUCGGGCGGGGGUAACCUCGGGUCGUCGUAGCUCCCACGCACUGCAUGCGGCUGCUACUCGAGGUAAGUGCAGCAACGGCGCUGGUGAUGUCGGCGUGUACGUGUUCUCCCUACUCGAUUCCUAGGGUUGAUGGUGGUGGAUGUAUCGCAAGGGACAGUUCCCUCCUUCUCCUCCACUUCCUAGGCUUUCGUGUUAGGUGUAUUGCACGUCCCCCGCUCACCAGUCGUUUUUGCUGUUACUGCCGACGGUAUCCAGCCAAUUCGUGCGUUGGGGCCGAAGCUGCGGCGAUUUCAAAGGUCCCCGUCUUGCCUCGCGUGUCGGGGCUCAGCGAGGGGCGUCCGUCGGAAAAUCUUCUUAGAGGGAUCGGCGGCGUCUAGCCGCAAGAGAAAGAGCAAUAACAGGUCUGUGAUGCCCUUAGAUGUCCUGGGCAGCACGCGCGCUACAAUGUAGGGAUCAACGUGCUUUCCCCCUCCGAAAGGAGCGGGUAACCCGUUGAAACCCCUACUCGAUUGGGAUUGGGGAUUGUAAGUGUUUCCCAUGAACGAGGAAUUCCCAGUAAGCGCAAGUCAUCAGCUUGCGCUGAUUACGUCCCUGCCCUUUGUACACACCGCCCGUCGCUACUACUGAUUGAAUGAUUCAGUGAGGGCAUCGGCUGGCGCUUCGGUUGCCGUCGCUUCGUACGCCAAACUCCGUUUCGGCGGGGGCGAU
rnacentral:rRNA from 1 species